AGCAUUAGAGGAUAGAAAUGGCAGCUAUCACCCAAUGUUAGGAGAUGCAGGAAAAGUCGCCCUGCCUUAUGCU
rfam:Leptotrichia hofstadii F0254 genomic scaffold Scfld3, whole genome shotgun sequence.